GACGAACGCUGGCGGCGUGCCUAAUACAUGCAAGUUGAGCGCUGAAGGUUGGUACUUGUACCAACUGGAUGAGCAGCGAACGGGUGAGUAACGCGUGGGGAAUCUGCCUUUGAGCGGGGGACAACAUUUGGAAACGAAUGCUAAUACCGCAUAAAAACUUUAAACACAAGUUUUAAGUUUGAAAGAUGCAAUUGCAUCACUCAAAGAUGAUCCCGCGUUGUAUUAGCUAGUUGGUGAGGUAAAGGCUCACCAAGGCGAUGAUACAUAGCCGACCUGAGAGGGUGAUCGGCCACAUUGGGAAUGAGACACGGCCCAAACUCCUACGGGAGGCAGCAGUAGGGAAUCUUCGGCAAUGGACGAAAGUCUGACCGAGCAACGCCGCGUGAGUGAAGAAGGUUUUCGGAUCGUAAAACUCUGUUGGUAGAGAAGAACGUUGGUGAGAGUGGAAAGCUCAUCAAGUGACGGUAACUACUCAGAAAGGGACGGCUAACUACGUG
rnacentral:rRNA from 1 species